rnacentral:rRNA from 1 species
UACCAGCACCCCGAGUGGUCGGGACGUUUAUUGGGCGUAAAGCGCUCGCAGGUGGUUCAUUGCGUCGUGCGUGAAAGACCCCGGCUCAACUGGGGAGGGUCGUGCGAAACGGGUGAACUAGAGGCCAGUAGGGGGAUGCGGAAUUCCGGGUGUAGUGGUGGAAUGCGUAGAGAUCCGGAGGAACACCAGCGGCGAAGGCGGCAUCCUGGACUGGUCCUGACACUCAGGAGCGAAAGCGUGGGGAGCGAUCCGG